rnacentral:rRNA from 1 species
AUAACGCAGCGAAAGCUGUGCUAAUACCGCAUAGCCCCUGAGGGGGAAANCGGGGGAUCGAAAGACCUCGCGCGAUUAGAGCGGCCGAUGCCUGAUUAGCUUGUUGUGGGGUAAAAAGCCCACCAAGGCGACGAUCAGUAGCUGGUCCUGAGAGGACGAUCAGCCACACUGGGACUGAGACACGGCCCAGACUCCUACGGGAGGCAGCAGUGGGGAAUUUUGGACAAUGGGGGAAACCCUGAUCCAGCAAUGCCGCGUGAGUGAAGAAGGCCUUCGGGUUGUAAAAGCUCUUUUUGUCAGGGAAGAAACACCGGCCUCUAACACAGUUCCGGGGAAUGACGGUACCUGAAGAAUAAGCACCGGCUAACUACGUG